UGGGGAAUAUUGCACAAUGGGCGCAAGCCUGAUGCAGCCAUGCCGCGUGUAUGAAGAAGGCCUUCGGGUUGUAAAGUACUUUCAGCGGGGAGGAAGGGAGUAAAGUUAAUACCUUUGCUCAUUGACGUUACCCGCAGAAGAAGCACCGGCUAACUCCGUGCCAGCAGCCGCGGUAAUACGGAGGGUGCAAGCGUUAAUCGGAAUUACUGGGCGUAAAGCGCACGCAGGCGGUUUGUUAAGUCAGAUGUGAAAUCCCCGGGCUCAACCUGGGAACUGCAUCUGAUACUGGCAAGCUUGAGUCUCGUAGAGGGGGGUAGAAUUCCAGGUGUAGCGAGGAAAUGCGUAGAGAUCUGGAGGAAUACCGGUGGCGAAGGCGGCCCCCUGGAAGGAGACUGACGCUCAGGUGCGAAAGCGUGGGGAGCAAACAGG
rnacentral:rRNA from 1 species